UAAGGAACACUGCAACAAGGACUGGUGUGGAUAGCGUGCUGCGCUGGUCUCGCCAACUGAAAAUAAUUCUGGUAUGCUGUAAAUGCCGACUGCCCAACAUGUGACUGGCCCGCGGCCGCUUUGAAGGUAAGAUUGUGUUCUCAUUAUUCUAUUUAUUGUAUCAUUUCUUUUCCAGUGACAUUACGAGCCAACAAUGAAAACCUCGAUCCACCCUGUCUCCACAUAUUAUCUAGUUUGUGCGCUGUGGAGCUUGAAGCACUUCUCAGAAUUUCAGCACACUCGCAUUUAUUUCUUUCCCGACAGACGAACAAUGCAAGUCUCACAUCUCGAUGAGGGUGGCGAUUUAUCGUCUCAGAUCUCGACGGUAAAACGUCGCAUCUGCGUACGUGUUCAGGGCCAAG